UGGCGGGUCUCCCUGCAUGGUAAUUCGGAGCAACGGGUCAGGAGCGGAAGCUAGCAGCCCACUCUGAGGAAUCAGUGCCAGGGGUUGGGCUCGCCGCCCU
rnacentral:SRP_RNA from 1 species